rnacentral:rRNA from 1 species
GAUGAACGCUGGCGGCGUGCCUAAUACAUGCAAGUCGAGCGAAUGGAUUAAGAGCUUGCUCUUAUGAAGUUAGCGGCGGACGGGUGAGUAACACGUGGGUAACCUGCCCAUAAGACUGGGAUAGCUCCGGGAAACCGGGGCUAAUACCGGAUAACAUUUUGAACCGCAUGGUUCGAAAUUGAAAGGCGGCUUCGGCUGUCACUUAUGGAUGGACCCGCGUCGCAUUAGCUAGUUGGUGAGGUAACGGCUCACCAGGGCAACGAUGCGUAGCCGACCUGAGAGGGUGAUCGGCCACACUGGGACUGAGACACGGCCCAGACUCCUACGGGAGGCAGCAGUAGGGAAUCUUCCGCAACGGACGAAAGUCUGACGGAGCAACGCCGCGUGAGUGAUGAAGGCUUUCGGGUCGUAAAACUCUGUUGUUAGGGAAGAACAAGUGCUAGUUGAAUAAGCUGGCACCUUGACGGUACCUAACCAGAAAGCCACGGCUAACUAUGUGCCAGCCGCCGCGGUAA